AACAUGUCAAAAAUACAUCUUUUUGCUUAAAUAAAAAGAGUGAAGUCAGAAGAAGAAUGAGUUGAAUUUGUUGAUGUUUCUCGUGAUUCACUUACAUGCAGGUUUGACUGUAUCAUGGGAUCGAGUCCCAGCGACCUCCCGUCCGUCCUGGUCCACACACCAACAGUACGUGGUCUCCCCGUAACACUGAACCGGACUGUGGGCACAAGAACCAGCAGAACCCUGCUCUCGUUCACUUGUUUGGUGUAAGAAAGAGGAUGCUGGUGUGGGACGUACCUGAACUCUCCGUCCGACUGGCACUGAGUCUACAGACAGUGACCCGGGUGAGGUUCUGGUUCCUGGUCUCUCCUGCCCACUGCUGUCCACACACCAGCAGUAUCCACUGGACCCGUGACACUGAAGCAGACACAUUAAAGCAGGCGUGUGUGAGGCCUGCAGCACCAUCAGAGACGGACACGUGAGGACGUCUCAGCAGAUGCUAACCUGGCGUGGAACAUACUGUCCGUCUUCGUCACACUGCGGUACAUAAGCUCCAGCUAAGGGACUUUCACCUGCACUGCUGGCCAGAACACUUUCUCUGAGGCGCUCGCAGUGAGUCCUCGGCUGGGGAGCUUCAUCUGAGGGGGAGGGGCUUAACGUUACAGAUUGUUGCAGAAACGUUUCUUUGUAAGAUACUGAAGAUAAAGCGGUGAGUCUUUGCAACAAUACUGUGCAAUUAAUUGAUGCGAAGAUGAGAGAGAAGCUGCACCUGGGUUGCUGCAGUCGACAGACGGCGUACCAGGCGCCGACCGAGUUCCUGUUCGCUCCUGUCCAGAACUGUCCACACACCAGCAGUAUCCAGUGGAGUCAUGGCACUAUAAGAAGAGCAAUCUCUACUUUAAUCGAAGCAAGCCUUAAGAAUCUGUAAAAAUAAAAACGUCUUAAAGAUGCUAACCUGCUGCGGGACAUACUCCCCGUUUUCAUCACACUGUGGGACGUAGGUGCCGACUGAGGGGCGGCCGUCUCGCUCAGAGCUCAACACGUGUUCCCUGUGGAGCUGGCAUCGAGUCUUAAAGUGUGGUUGUUCAUCUGAGAAUAAAAACAGAAAGUAAAUGUGAUCGAGGAAAAGAGCAGAAAUCAUUUUAAUUCAAGAAAUUCAAACAUUUUUGUCUCAAACA
rnacentral:lncRNA from 1 species